rnacentral:rRNA from 1 species
UAAAGCGAAUAGUGAAAUCUGGGGGCUCAACCUCACAGGCUAUUAUUCGAACUCACUGACUCGAGAACAGCAGAGGUAACUGGAAUUUCUGAAGUAGGGGUAAUAUCCGUAGAUAUCAGAAGGAACACCAAUGGCGUAGGCAGGUUACUGGGCUGUUUCUGACACUGAGGCACGAAAGCGUGGGGAGCGAACCGGAUUAGAUACCCGGGUAGUCCACGCCGUAAACGAUGGAUACUA